rnacentral:rRNA from 1 species
UACAGAGGGGGCAAGCGUGGUUCGGAAUUACUGGGCGUAAAGCGCGUGUAGGCGGCUCGGCAAGUCGGGUGUGAAAGCCCUGGGCUUAACCUAGGAAGUGCACUCGAAACUGCCAAGCUUGAGUUCUGGAGAGGAAGGCGGAAUUCUCGGUGUAGAGGUGAAAUUCGUAGAUAUCGAGAGGAACACCGGUGGCGAAGGCGGCCUUCUGGACAGCAACUGACGCUGAGACGCGAAAGCGCGGGGAGCGAACGGG